UGUUUGAAUGUUAAUGGUAAAAAUCAAAGCAUCCUUAAUCCAUCUCUGGUAUAAUGAAUCUAGGAUUCCAGUAUGUGAUAGCAUUGAUGUUGAUUGAAUUACCUCUUUUUAGAUAUGUCUCUAGUAGACAUAGUAAGAUAGUAUGAGAUAGAUUAAUGAAAUAUCCUCUUUGAAAUGAUUGAUUUUGCUGUAGUCUAUUUUUUAAUUGUGAUAUAUGUAUCAGAGCAACUGUAAUAAGUACUGGGGUGGUUUAAACACAUUGGUCCAUUAUGUUUUGAUUGCUGUAUAUCUUCUCCACCUACAGUUUGUAGAAUGGUUUACAUCACAAUAUCCAGUUGGAUCUGAUUGCCCUUGCUAACUAUAUUAGUUGAUUGAAGUGAGGUCUACAGGUGCUGUUCUGUGUGCAGUAGAUCAUUGCAGAUCCAGAAUGUUUCAAAAUUAUGAAAAGUAAGCUUUUUUGAAGAAAAGAAAUAUACAUCUAAACUGAACUCCAUGGGCAUGAACAACCAACCAAAUGGAGGAAAAAUGCUUGGAUGAAAUCAGCUCUGGGGAUGCAGCCAAAAUAUUGAAAUAACUAAAGAUCAGACAUAUGAAUGUAGCAAAUGUUCAGAACCUUGCUGACUUUGAUAAGCACUGUUUGCAUUUAACAGACUUUGAUCCAAGGAUUAAUAAUUUAAAGCCUUUGGUAAGAUUUGUUGUGGUAAACAACUGCUUGCUUUUUUACAUUUUCAAAAAUUGUUAACAGAUUGUUAUAUUAUUCUUGUAACAAUUUAUAUCUUUAAACAUUUUAAUGAUAGUGUACUUGGUGACAACAUUUGUUGCUAAUCAGCAGAUGUAUUUACUGAUUUUAAUGUAAAUAUAAGUACUGUAUUGUGUAAAAAUUAAUCACAAUUUUUGAUGAAACAUCUUUUAGUGACAAGCUUUAAGUUUGGAAAAUGAAUAAAAAGACAAAAUAACAAACUUAACAAUAGUACUACAUGAAAGGAUUUUUAAAUAGUUCCUGUAAUUCCAUAGCAAUGUAUUGAUUUCUCAUUAUAAGCCCCGUUUGUGUUUGUUUGUUUGAACUAUGGUGAUAGUUUUAGCUUUUUCUUUUAUACAAAGUCUAAAAGAGGGAUAAUUCAGGUUUAGUAUAUAGAUACAUUCUGUUAAAGUGACAUUGAUGUUAUUUUAGUAUGUCAUUGUUACGGUUACUGUUUCAAGAAACAUUGGUGUACUUUCAGUUUGAAAUGAGCUAUUUUCUCUCCUUUAAUAUGUGUGUGUGUGUGUGUGUGUGUGUGUAUUUAGAGUAGCUGUUUUUUAAAAAAAAUUAAUGCUACUGAUUUGUGUUAUGAAGCACAUAGUCUCCAACAGGCCAUCGGAGUUGUUCCGAGUUGUUGGGGAGCUCCUGCGGCCUCCCGAGGCCCAGGGGUUUCCUGAUGACUUGGCAACUCGGUGCAGCGAUUUCGCGCACCAUUUUGCAGGCAAAGUUGCUCAGAUACGCCGUGAGUUGGACUCCAGCUUAACUGUGGUCCCAGCGGAGGUAACCGAGGUACCUGUCUGUGCGAUCUUAUGGGAUUCUUUCCGGCUUGUCCUUCCUGAUGACGUGGAGGGGAUUCUUGGGUCUGUGAGGGCGACCACCUGCGCUCUGGAUCCUUGUCCUUCUUGGCUGGUGAAGCUGGCCAAAGAUGGGUUGUUGGAUUGGUUUGUGGCUAUUAUAAAUGCCUCCCUGGUUCAAGGGUCAGUUCCAUCCUGCUAUAAGCAGGCGAUAGUAAAACCAUUAUUAAAAAAGACCUCGUUAGACCCAUCUGUAUGUAACAACUACAGGCCAAUUUCCAACCUCCCAUUUCUGGGCAAGGUUCUGGAGCGGGUGGUUGCUACGCAGCUGCAGGAGUUCCUCGAUGACACUGAUUUUCUGGACCGCUCGCAGUCUGGCUUCAGGCCUGGACACAGCACCGAGACGGCUUUGGUCGCCCUGGUGGAUGACCUCCGCAGGGAGCUGGACAGGGGGAGUGUGACCCUGCUGGUUCUCUUGGACAUCUCAGCGGCUUUCGAUACCAUCGACCAUGGUAUCCUUCUGGGGAGGCUCGCCGGGAUGGGAAUCGGUGGCACAGUUCUGUGGCUUCGGUCCUUCCUGGAGGGCCAUUCCCAGAUGGUGAAGCUGGGGGAAACCUGCUCGGACCCCUGGCCAUUGACCUGUGGGGUCCCGCAAGGGUCUAUUCUAUCCCCCAUGCUAUUUAACAUCUACAUGAAACCACUGGGAGAGGUCAUCCGGAGUUUUGGAGGGUGUUGCCAUCUCUACGCAGAUGACACGCAAAUCCACUACUCGUUCCCAUCUGAUUCCAAGGAAGCCCCUCGGAUGCUGAACCAGUGCCUGGCCGCUGUGGCGGACUGGAUGAGGAGGAACAAGCUGAGGAUCAAUCCUGACAAGACAGAGGCCCUCCUGGUCAGUCGCUCGUCGGAUCGGGGUAUUGGGUGGCAACCUGUGCUGGACGGGGUCGCACUCCCCCUGAAGUCACAGGUCCGCAGUUUGGGGGUCCUCCUGGAUUCAGCGUUGAUGCUUGAGGCUCAGGUGUCGGCGGUGGCCGGGAGGGCUUUUGCACAACUCAAACUUGUGCGCCAACUGCGACCAUACCUCGUGGAGUCUGACUUGACCACGGUGGUGCAUGCCUUAGUUACCUCUAGACUGGACUACUGUAAUGCGCUCUACGUGGGGCUUCCCUUGAAGACGGCUUGGAAAUUACAACUGGUCCAACGCUCGGCUGCCAGAUUAAUAACUGGGGCGAAUUACAGGGAGAGAUCUGCUCCCCUGUUUAAGGAGCUCCACUGGCUUCCGUUCAUUUUCCGAUCCCAAUUCAAGGUGCAGACCAUCAUAUAUAAAGCCCUAAACGGUUUGGGACCCACCUACCUUCGUGACCGUAUCUCCUACCAUAAACCUGCCCGAUCUCUGCGAUCGUCAGGGGAGGCUCUCCUGUCGCCACUGCCUUUAUCCCAGACCCGCCUUGUAGGAACAAGGGAGAGGGCCUUUUCUGCUGUGGCCCCCCGUUUAUGGAACUCAUUGCCCAUUGAAAUCAGGCAAGCCUCCACUCUUUCAGACUUUAGGAAAGAUCUAAAAACAUGGCUCUUCCGAUGUGCUUUCGGAGAGUAACUGUUACAUGCUUUUUGUUACACCCCCCAUUAUUUAUCCUCUAGGCUGUCUGCUAUCUUUUCCUUAGUUCCCUGUGGUUUUAUUCUUAUCCUUUUUCUUAUCCUUUUCUCACCCCGAGUUUUAACUGAGUAUUCGUGCGGCCUGCCCUGUUAUAUUGCUCUUUGGAUUUUGUGUUGUACUGUAUAUGAUUCUUUAUUGUAUUGUUACAAUUGUAUUAUGAUAUGUUGUUUUUAUAUUGUGUUAUAUUGUAUUUUUCCCGGGCAUGGCCCCAUGUAAGCCGCCCCGAGUCCCCAUUGGGGAGAUGGUGGCGGGGUAUAAAUAAAGUUUUAUUAUUAUUAUUAUUAUUCUUGUCUAGGUAAUGACCUAAACACAGCGUAAAGCAAUAGACCAGGUUAUAACCAUGCUUCUAACAGUUUUCCCCUCUGAAUGUGCCAUGGACUAGAACACUAGUUGGAGAAAUGUCAUGAUUUGCCACAUUUUUUCUCAUUUAUUUCCUUCUUGGAAACUUUUUGUGAAUUGGCAUCAGCCCAUAAACCAUCAAUCUGAGUAAAACUGGUUUACAGGUCUUCUACCAUUUAGUGUGGCCAUAUCCCUGUAACUAUAAAAUAACUAAAGGUAUAGUGGUACUAUAAAAGGAAAUGGAGUUAUUCCUUGUUACAUUAGUCAUAAAGUAAAAUAGUUACAAUUAAAUAGUGAUUGGAAUGGGUUAGUUCCCAGCUGUAUUCUGGUGAUAUAACAAAUCAGGGUUACACACGUUUAGCUUUUCAUUUGCAUCCUUUGGUGAGGCUGAGCUUUGCUACAGUUUCUUUUGGAAAGGCAAAUGGCUAUUCAGUUUUCUCUUUGUAUUUUUAGGACUAUAUUAACUUCCUAUUGAAAGGGAGAUUAUUUGUUUCCAGAAAAGAAGCCACAUGGAAUUUAAGAAUUUAUGUAUGCCUUAAGAUGCUCAAUAUGUCUUGCAAAUUAAGGAUUUUUUUUACAUCUGUGGUUAAUCAGACAUCAGUAACAAAUAAACAUUAGUAGAAACAUGAUUUCUGUCAAUUUUCUAUAACAUUGCUAGAGCUGAUCUUUGUCAGAUUCAUAACAUUCACCACUUGCAGCAGUAGAACUUGCUCAAUGUAUUACUGCAUUGAGAAAAAAGCUAUAUAUACCCAAACACUAGUUAGAGAUAUGCCAUGAUUUGCAGUGGACUACUGAGCUAGACAUUAUUGAAGAAAAAACACCAUAUCCUUUUCUUAAGACAAAGCAUACAAGGCUCAGUAUGUCUUUCAUUUGACAGUUGCAACAGAACGUUCAUCCUCCCUACUCUUCAAGCCUCACACUUUCCCAGAACUAUACAGUGCCCACCAAUCUUGAAAAGUAGUUUUGGAAGUGCAUGAGGGCUGCAUUGGUGAUGGGAAUAAUCUCUCCUGUGUUUUCUGGGCAUCAUUGCUUUGCUAAGUGAAUGGUCCUGUUCAGUGCUGCCCACAGUUUAUUACUAAUUUGAAAAGAGGCUUCCCUCUUAUUCGGAAAGGAAAAAAGUUUCACUUUUGGAGUGGUACAUUUGUUUUGUUUCCACAAUUUAUUUCUGCUUCUCUUGUGUUUGAAUGCAAACACAGCAUGGGACAGUAGCAGGAGGCCUUCAUCUUUACCUUAUUUCUGUCUCACUUUUAAGAAAAAUAAGUUUUAUUGUCAGAUCAAAAUCCCCUGGUAUUCCACCUUGCUAGACUGCCCCCUCUCUAAGAGAUUCUCCCACUGAUAAGAACCUGUGAAAGCCUGCAGCCUUACAUAGCAAAAAUGAUGGGUAGUGUACACAAGACAUUCUAGUGUGGCUGUAAAAUGCUCCUGUGUUAUUUUUAUUGGAGCCAAAUUUGAUCUCUUAAAUAUCUCCUCUACUUUUUCGAUGUCAGGGUUUUGGUAUCCCCCCCCCCUUUUUUUUUAGAACCAUUCUAUUUCUUAAAAUCAUUAGACUUCAUCUCCCUGUCCCAUUUCCUCUCAUGUUACCUGUACCAUGAAGCUUUACAGACAUUAAGAAAGAUAAGUUGUAAUUUUGGAUAUAAUAAUGGAGAAAAUUAUUUGUAACUGUAUGUAGUGGCAAAUCACCUGCGCUCUUUUGAGGAGCAGUCAAUAUGCAAAUGUCUUGAAAUAUAAACCAUUGUUAAAUUAUUAUAAUGAGAAAAUGCUUCACAAGAAAUAGAAAAAAGUCUUUUAAUAUUUGAUUUAUAAUUAGGUAGCGGUUUAUAAAUAGACACAUUUCUUCAACUAUUAUAAUAAAUUAUGAGAGCAAAAUCAAAUGGAAGGUCUUCCUGAUUCUAUCACAUGCUGAGCCAAUGAUCUUGAGCUAAUGAUCAGUUCACAAUUUUUUGUUCUACCAUAGCUUCCCCCCCCCCCCCAGAGAGCCCACAAAACUACCUUACCCUUUGAUCGUACCUAAAAGACUUUUCAAUAAAACUUUUAAAAAUUUCUAAUUUAGAUAGCAUAACAGACCACAUUAUUUUAGUGUUUUAUAUACGAUUUCACUGAAUUUAACAAGUGGCCUAAACUGACUGCGAUCAGAAGUGAAAUUACGAAGUAGCAUUAGAUAUCAAAACUCAAUAUUUAUUACUAACUUUUCCCUUAUAAUAUUUACAGCAAUGGUAGACAUUCUAAAUUUGCACUUGAUAGUUGUGUGUUUCCUGACUGAUAUUUUGUCCUCACGUUUUCUCUUUCCUCCCACUGUUGAUGGCACCAGUCAUGAAAGGUUUUAGUUGUAUCAGGUCUGUGCUGUGUUCACUGAGCUGUAAAGAAGCCCUCAGUGAUGAAUGUGAACUGGUACUUUUGGGAUGUUUUGAUUUUAGGAUACCAGCUGUGUAUCCUAACUUAAUCUUAAGACAUAAAAAGUUUUUUAAAAAGUGUUCUGUUAUUAGUCAUAUGUUUUAUUUUGAAAAGCAGAUUUUACUUUUUUCUACUUUUUGUGAAGUUUAUAGGUCAGAAGUAUAGUAUUUCUGAAGCGAGUAACUUUUGAGUAGGAUUUCCAAGUUACUUUUAUCUAUAUAUAGAUUAUCAGUAUUUUCAUGAGGUGAAAUUGAUGGAUCUGCUUUUAAGAUGUACGUAACUUGUAAAUGUCUGGCAUUAUCUACUUUUGUCUAGUCUUUUGUGUAGUCUUGCACAUAGUUUACAGUGGUGAACAAAUGCAGUAUAUUGUAUUUAAGUACAGGCAGUCCACAAGUUACAGACAUCCAACUUACAAAUGACUCAUAAUUAAGAAUGGGGGGUGAGACAACAGGAAGUGAGAGAAAUUACCCCUAGGAAGGGAAAUUCACUCCUGAAACAGUUAUCAUAGGAAAAGGGUGUCUCAGCUGAAGCUUUCUCACCAAUCCUUGUUUCUAUAAGGACUCCACCACACUCUAAGGAAGCAUAUUCCACUGCUGAAGUGAAGUAGAAACUGCAUUCACAGGACUUGGGAGAAAUAAAUCACCUGGAAUACUUGGCAUACUAGUAGAGCGGUUUCAAGCUACUGCAAUAGAAUUUAGUCAAAUUAUUCCUAAAAUAUGUGAGAAAAAAUGGAAACAAAACAAGGGCCACAGACUGGGAACAAUUCCUUAUCUUCAUUGUCACUUUGCUGACCAGUAAGAAGGAUCAGGAUUUGAGCUUUCCCCCGAGUUAGCGUAACCUGGGGCAAAGUCAUGUUAAGGCAGCCAUAACCUAGGUUAUAUUGAAUUGGUCCCAUGUGGUGUAUAGCUGUCAAGGGGCUGAUCCAAAUACAGGCAGUCCACAAGUUAAAAACAUCAAUUUUACAAAUGACUCAUAUUUAAAAAUGGGAGUGAGACAACAGGAAGUGAGAGAAAUCUACCCCUAGAAAGGGAAAUUAACUCAUGAAAGAGUUAUCAUGGGGAAAAGGUGUCUCAACCAAAGCUGUAUCACCAAUUCUUGUUUGCACAACAAACCUAAGUUUUUCAAAAUAUAAUUCUCACAGGGACAGAAAGUGGGGUGAAAUCUCCUGAACAGGAACACAGACAGCAAAACAAACACCAUAAGGGUGUUAACCCAUCCCUAUGCUAUCCAAAGCUCUUUCUCUCUCCUCCCCUCCCUCUGUAUAUAUGGCUGGUCUGACUUACAUACAAAUUAAACUUAAGAACAAAUCUACAGAACCCAUCUUGUUCAUAACUUGGGGGCUGCCUGUAUAUUCAAAAUAGCAAAUUGGUGCCACUCUUAUUGUUUUAGUGAAAGUUCUAAAAUGGUAAAUUGUAUUCUUAUAUUUACAUCAGUUACUUUUCUACCUAAAGUCUGGAAUAACAGAGAACACUAUUUAUUGCCACAAAGAACCCCAAAAUAAACAGCCAUUGAAAGUAGAUGAGCUAAAAUAAUCAUGUCCUUGUAACUAUUGUAUAUAUGAUACAUCUGGAAGAGGAAAACAGCCUUCCUUGCACGUAUUUCUGAAUGACAGUGAAGAAGUGGCCAAAUAGAGCCAAAUCCAGGUUCCUUUAUUUUGGAAGCAGAAGUUGUCAGAAAUGUUUCUAGAGAAAGUGCUAAUCAAAAUACAAAGAGCAACGGACCUCUAAAUAUGAGUCUACACUCCAGUAGGAUCCCCACUAUGGGAAAGUGCAAAGAUCUUUCUCCCCACUUGGGCAUUGCUUCUGAACUUUGGCUGUCAAGUUUGGUUCAUGGCUACUAAUACUAUUUAACUUAUUGAGACUUCUGUGUUUGUUCAUGGUAGAGAAGCAGAAAGUAUGUUUGUUCUUGGUGGGGAGGCGAAUGUCACACUAUUGAGAAAUAUGAGGAAGAAAAAGAUCUGAGUAAAUGAUGGUAUUACGAAGGAUAAACAAAGAAGAAGGAAAUGAAAAAUAUAAUACAUGGAAAUAAAUAUUGGCCUUAUUGAAUAUUAAAACAACAUUUCUAUUGUUUCAUAAUUUAUAUUAAACAGUAGAUAUAUGACAUUCAUAAUGGUUCUUGAUGAGGAUGUAAGUUCUUCUGUUAGCCAAAUACUUUAAAGAGGGACAUUAGUAAGCUACCAGUCUUUUAACCAUCAAAUGUUGCUGUUAAAGCUCCUCACUAUAUCCUAGAUUUGAGGUAUACAACAUUCAUGUUAUCUAUCAAAUCAUAACCCAUUUAACAGUGCUGUUUGACUCUAGUUUAUUGUUUAUUUUUGAUUUUGAGUAAGGGAUGAACACUUACUCUCAGCUGGAAUUUAAACAGUAUAUUAAGCUUUCAUUGUUUAAUGCUGUGCACUAGCACCAGUUACUAUAGUUUCAGAGCUAACUAUAAUUGACACUUCGGGCUGGUUUUCAUAGUGUAUUUUAAGCAUGUGUUUUAUCUUAAUGAAAGACACAUUUUAAAUACUUUAUUGUUAUUGUGUUAAAUUACCUGCUGUAAAAGGUUCCAUUAAAUAUAAAGGAACAGUAAAUAUUACUUCGUAAAUAGUAACUGUGAUAUGACUCUAUAUCUGUGGUCAUUAUUUCUGCAUUUUCUAGCUUUAAACAGACAGCAGUUCCAAUCUUAGGAAGCAAUUUUAGACAAAUCUAGUGAGAAGAAUUUAAUAAGGUAAUUUGAAAAAAACAAAAAAAAUUAUUUGUACAGUGCAGGAAAUGGAACAGGGAAAUGUACCUUGAAGGUUUGAAAUUCAACCUUGGUGUGGGUGUGGGUAUCAAUGAAAUUCACUUACAGUCACAGAUUCAGAGCAAUAUUCUUAUUUUAAAAGAUAAAAUAUUUUCUUUAAAAUAAAACUUACCUAGCAGAUGAAGAUAAUGCUUGGAUGCUCUAUCUCCAAAUACUCCCCAGGUAGGUAGCUUUCUGUAUUAGAAAAGCCUUGUGCACAGUAGCUUUGCAGUUUCCUUUCUCUGUCUCAUUUGGUGCUGCUGCUGCUUCAUUUUGUUACUGCUUGCUUCCAGUUGCUCCCAGUUAUUCCAGAUCCUUGGGGUGGCUGUCCAAAUGAUAUAUCAGAUUAUUCUUCCUUUGAGAUGCCACAAAAAAGCAAUGGGCUUUUCAUCUUCUCAAACAAUAGAGACAGAUGUAGCAAAUCUUGUUAACUCAGAUGUUCAUUAUUUAUCAAAUAUUAAUUGAAAGCUUUAGUGUUCAGUAAAUCCCAUCUGCUUUUCUCACAUGAAUUCCAAUACUGAAAACUUCUUUCUGUUAUCCAUUUUGUUGAGACUGUAUGUUUCGUUGCAAGGCAGGAUCAUUGAGCUGAAGGUUCUGGCUUAACUUUUUACCUGCAUAGCCUGCUUUUGGUAGUGGAUGUUGAACAGUCUGCUCUUCUGUGCUUCUGUCAAACACAGAUGUGAAAUGCUGCUUGCCAACAGGGGAGAAACUCCCAAAGGGUGUAGUGUGUUGUGUCAUAUCUCAAGACAGUGAAUACUCAUUGCAUCAAUGAGUUGUUUAUAUGAGCUAUUCAAGUCAGGCACUGGUCUGGUAGGAUGACGUUUUCCAUACCUAAUUCACUAAUUUUUUGUUCUGAUGGACAGCAGUGUCUACUGGCAGGAAGAGAAAUAAAAUGAUGAUUUUACAAGGUUUGAUAUGUCCUUUCUGUCUGAAUGGGUUGUCAUUCCAGAAAACCUGCUAUUAGUGAAAUUGACAAACAGAUUUUUCUGCAGCAGAUGUUUUGGGAAAAUGCUUUCCAACCAUCAAAGUGGUAUCAUCUGCAUAUCUGAGGUUGUUAAUGUUUCUUCCAGCAAUUUUAACUCCAGUCUUGGAUUCAUCAAGUGCCCCACGUCACAUGAUGUGUUCUGCAUACAAGUUGAAUAGGGGAUUCCUUUACCCAGUUCAGGUUUGCUGAAGAAAAGGAAUGGAUUGUAGAAAACUUUUGCCCAAAGCAGGUUGUUUACAACUUGAUGGAACUGAAGAAAUCUGCUCAGCAUCUCAGCAGGAAGGUACAUCCAAAAGUAUUACUGAGGAGGAGCUUGAAGACUGGUUAGACAGCAUGAUUUCCUAAAGCCUGCAUUUUGGCUGUCAUGCAAGUAACUGAAAAAUAAAUGAACAUUACAGUAGCUAGGUAUAGAAUAUUUGUAAGUCUUUAAUUAAGUAGCUGCUUCAUCUGGAGUUUUAAUUAUGUUGUCUGUCUAGGUUUGUACUGAAAUCUUGAGACAAUAAAUCUGGAUGUAUUCCAGGUGUGAUGAGUGUUAUCAGCAGAUAAUUGAAUGCAUCAGCAUAUCUAUAAAGAGAUUGGAAUUGUUUCAGAAAAAUGCAAGUACUAUUAAAGAUAGUUUGGUUGCAAAUCAAUACAGAAAAAUAGAACAGUAAUUUCAUUGUAUGUUGAAUAAGACCAUAUUGCUCAGAGUGACAAAUUAAAAUAAGGGUAUCAAA